rnacentral:lncRNA from 1 species
AGCAAGUAAGUAUAGCCGGGGCAGCAGGAGUUCAGGCCUUGGGAGAAAAAUCUUAAGAUAUGUAUUUGGGGGUAGAAAUGACCCCCCAAAGGGAAAGAAAGGUGGCCUCAGGAUACUCAGCAGAGCAGGGGCUGAUUGCAUACUGGGUGUGGUGCUGAACCCCGGGAGUCCUGAACUAAACAGAAUAUACACUGCCCUUCAAAGCCUGGAGGUCCAGGGGAGGAGAGUUAUGAGAGUGGUGACUACCCCAACUUCCUAGGAAGUUUCCUCUUGAUACUGCUGCAGUUUCAUGGUACAGGGGCUUCAAGUGUCAUCAGACAUCAGGGCCACUGCACGCCAUGACGCACGGUAACGUUUGGAUGAAAACAUUUGGUACAGAUAUUCAGAUGAAAGAUCCAAAAAGUCACUGCCAAUUAAUUCUUUAACUGGCAGAGAAAAUGGACACUAUGGAGACCCUUAGACCGUAUCAGGAAUGUCGGACUCAUCUGGCCACAGAGGUUUGAGGUGGUAGACAUUGUGAAGCCACAGAAUACAACUGGAGGCAAAGCACAGCUCAUGGUUUCUGGUGUUGGACCAGAAGGAAGGCUGGAUAGCCCAGCCUUGAGAAGGCCCAAGAAAUGGAGGUGAUGAAGUUGAGUUGGAGGCCAAGCUUCCCUCUGACACUCUGCUCAUCUGCCCUCCUGCCGGAUCCCCAAGUCCUUCUCUAAGCAUAUGCGGACAAGAGAGAUCCCCGUCCGAUGACUCCACGUGUGCCAUGGUGGGGACACUGCCAGAUGAGAGGGUCCAGGCAAGCAGAUCUUCUUGUGGAAAACUUGGUGACAGUACCCUUUCUGAGUCAGUUUCCUUAUCUGUACAGUGUAGACGUGGGCCAGAAGCUGUAGAGAGUCUCCGUGUUCUUCAGGCUUAGGCGGGUCAUUGGGUACAGCCAGGUGUAUUUUGGUACCUGGACUAAGGGGACAAGUGGGAUGACUAAGAGAUCUUCCCAGAUGGAAGGCCUGGCAUGGGUGCAUGUGGAAGUAUUCAUGGAGGAGACUUCAGCCGCCCAUCAGUGCUCUGCCCCGCCCCUCAGCGGUUGGUAAGGAACAUGCUCAUUGGCCUCAUUCUGCCUCUGUCUUCAGGGUACAUUUGGGUUUCUGUGUCUGCCAUCUCUUACUCAGAUGUUUUGCACUGCUUUGAUGAACAGAUGGACAAACGGUUCCCUUGGAGACUGAUCUUUCAUCUCUGGCAUGGGACACACGCUUAGUGGCUUAAGGAGCCAGCCUUGGGAAGAAAUAGUGAAACUCAUAGACGCCUGUCUUCACUUUCUGCCUCUUUAAAGAUUUUUGUUUGCUUGCUUGCUUGUUUAAGAGCUGAAGAUGGCUCAUGUGUUAAACGCAUCGCAUCUGAUGCUCUUACAUAAAACCCAGGUUCAGUUCCCAGCACCCAGCAAGUGGCUCACAACCACCUGUGAUCCCAGUUCUGGGGGGAAUCUAGUGCCCCUUCUGGCCUCCUCAGGAACUGCACACAGGAGGUGCAUGUACAGACAUGGUCGGGGAACAUACUCAUACUGAUAAAAUAAAAAUAAUUCUUUUUAAAAA